rnacentral:rRNA from 1 species
GAGACACAACAAAAUUUAUAGAGAAAAAUGGGAUAAAUGAGAAAGAGAGAGAAAACCACACCAUGAUCAACACCCCCACACCAUUCGAGCACCAUAGGACACCAAAAAGUCUUUAAAAGUUAAAGGGGAGAAAAAACAAAGAAGGGACCACACCCAAAAAGACAGGCAACAACCCAUUAGAAAUCCUUAAAGUUCCUUUUUCCGUUAGGGUGCCUGCGGAAGGAU